GACGAACGCUGGCGGCGCGCCUAACACAUGCAAGUCGAACGGAGCUAUAUUGAAAGCUUGCUGGAUAUAUAGCUUAGUGGCGGACGGGUGAGUAACACGUGAGCAACCUGCCUUUCAGAGUGGAAUAACGUUUGGAAACGAACGCUAAUACCGCAUAAUGUCAGAGGACGGCAUCGUUCUUUGACCAAAGAUUUAUCGCUGAAAGAUGGGCUCGCGGCCGAUUAGGUAGUUGGUGAGAUAAUAGCCCACCAAGCCGACGAUCGGUAGCCGGACUGAGAGAUUGAACGGCCACAUUGGGACUGAGACACGGCCCAGACUCCUACGGGAGGCAGCAGUGGGGGAUAUUGCACAAUGGGGGAAACCCUGAUGCAGCGACGCCGCGUGAGGGAAGAUGGCCUUCGGGUUGUAAACCUCUGUCUUCGGGGACGAAUAAAUGACGGUACCCGAGGAGGAAGCCACGGCUAACUACGUGCCAGCAGCCGCCGUAAUAC
rnacentral:rRNA from 1 species